rnacentral:rRNA from 1 species
AUUGAACGCUGGCGGCAGGCUUAACACAUGCAAGUCGAGCGGGGUGAUGGUGCUUGCACUAUCACUUAGCGGCGGACGGGUGAGUAAUGCUUAGGAAUCUGCCUAUUAGUGGGGGACAACAUCUCGAAAGGGAUGCUAAUACCGCAUACGUCCUACGGGAGAAAGCAGGGGAUCACUUGUGACCUUGCGCUAAUAGAUGAGCCUAAGUCGGAUUAGCUAGUUGGUGGGGUAAAGGCCUACCAAGGCGACGAUCUGUAGCGGGUCUGAGAGGAUGAUCCGCCACACUGGGACUGAGACACGGCCCAGACUCCUACGGGAGGCAGCAGUGGGGAAUAUUGCACAAUGGGCGCAAGCCUGAUGCAGCCAUGCCGCGUGUAUGAAGAAGGCCUUCGGGUUGUAAAGUACUUUCAGCGGGGAGGAAGGCGGUGAAGUUAAUAACUUCACCGAUUGACGUUACCCGCAGAAGAAGCACCGGCUAACUCCGUGCCAGCCGCCGCCGUAAGAC